AGUAAAGCGAUGAGAAAGAUUAGUACAUUCUACUUAUGCAUUAUAGAGAGUUUGUGGCGGGUGGAAACAAACUGCAAGUCGGAUGGAAUGGACUUUCGAGUCAAAUUCGAACAACGGGACUAAUUUUCUUCUGUUUAGUAGACAUUUGCGUAUGCCUUGCGUUAAAGGUAAAGUGACCAUUUCGGUAACUAGGGUGGUACCGCGGAUUUAUGACCAUUCGUCCCUACU
rnacentral:ncRNA from 1 species